ensembl:lncRNA
GCAGAUACUGUCUGGACCAAUUUAUAGGAGCAAUUUGUUUUAAAACUGUCUUGCUCGAGUACGAAUGUCAGAUAAUUUCACCUUUCAGUUAUUGCUCAGAUCCUCUAACGGCUGUAAAAACUGAAAUGUAAAUAGCUGAUCAAUAGGUACAUUUUAAGUGGAUAAAAAAAACUGGGAUUUGACUGAAUGUCUUUUGACUGUUAUCGGAUGCGAAUGUAAGUGUGAAUUGCUGCGGUACAGGAACAUGGACGACGUUUCUUCUUUGACUCUCCCCCUUUGCGCUCAGCUGAAUCCGGCCACAGCAGUCAUUAUCUUCAAGAGACUUCGUAAUCAAAACCGCCCGGCGCUACACUGGUCUAAGACUUUACAGGAAGACAAGACGCCUGAUUUGAAAUGAAUGUCGCUGCUCCUUGAUUGUAAUCUGGUUGUGUUUACAUGGCUGUGGACCAUGGAUGUGUACAUGCUCUGAACACGGCCUUGAAUUUUAUAUGAGGAAGUCUGUCUGUGUAGGUGAGGCGUUUCGGUACGCGCGUGUUGUCAACAGACCUGAGUUCAAAUACUACUUGAUGUCACAAACAGUACUGGAUGUGGUCUUGAUUGGGCUGGCCACAUUAGAACCAAUGGAAUGGUCACAUUGAGUGCUUGUCCCACCCACCUGGCUCUCUAAGUAGACUGGAGCAAACAUGACAAGGAAUUUAAACGAUUUCAAGUACCGUUUGAACUCAUGUUUUUUUUUUUAAACCGUGUACUAUCCAAAUAUUUAUCAAAUAUCAAAGAAAGCCAUGGAUGUAUUUUUCUUCUUUUUUUUGUAGAUUGGACAAGCAUUUGACUCAAGGUUUGGUGAUCACUAUUCCAUGGAGGAUUACUGAUGAGGAUUAAAGGAAAGCACGACCGAAUCAAAGCUGAUGUUAUUUGGAAUGACAAGACCCUGAAUCCAGUCAGUCAAUCAGAAAUUAAACUCUUGUCAAAUGGCGCCCUUUACAUUUACCUCAGCUGAGGUGUAUGUAAACCUGUAGUUAGUGCACUACUUUUGACCCUAGACUUGGGCGAAAGAACGUGCCGGAAGGCUCUCUGGUUAAAGCUAGUGCACUCUGUUGGGAACGAGGUGCCAUUUGGAAUAUGUUCUUCCAACUUUCCUUCCGGUCCUAACCGGUCCAAAUGUAACUGCAUUGGUGCUCGCAUUGUUGACCACGUGCCUUUGGUUCUGCAUUAAGUUGGUCAUUCUACCAGUUGUGCUAUGUACCCCGGUUCUGUUCUAUGUACCCCGGUUCUGUUCUAUGUACCCCGGUUCUGUUCUAUGUAACCCGGUUCUG